GGCUGAGCUCACGUCUGCAGGCGUCUGUGCGUGUUCCUGGGUGUAUCUACGGGAAUGACUGCUUACACUGCAGUUCCUCCCUUUGUUCCUGUGAUGUCUGUCAGUGUUUUGCCCAUCUUGUGACCCUUUGCUCCUGGCUGAUGGACUAAAGUAAACAUAGAGAAAAAGGUGCACACAGUCAUCAUUGUCAUCAGCAACUGGAGAUGGACUAGAAGAAUGUAACGGAGCACACAUCUGGCAGCGUGACAUUAUUCCUAUGGGGUGCAAUGUGCCCUCUGUGCACGGAAUCAUCACUGUGGAUUUCUGCUUCAGUCCUGUGGGCAUGAGCUGUACUGUGUGUGCACUGAGGAGAGCCAGAAAGGAGCACGGAGUCAUCACCUGAGGGGAAACAAAAUUCAGAAACGAGGAGGGGAAAUUUCGGUGCUUAUUUUUAGACUCUGUGGGGACAAGCCAACACACUCGUGAGUUUCAUAGAAGAAAAAGCUCCCUGUUAAUCAGCACUUUAUUGUCUCAGUAUGCUUAAAAUAAGCGUUUUGUCACAUUCAAGAAGCUGCAACUUUAUUGGUUUGCAUUCUGGCACCAUGCUCAAUGUUGUCAAGUGCUGUCAGUUGUCUUCUUUCUGUAACUUAUUUACUGGGGGGGAGAGAGAGAGAUUGGGAUUGAAACAUUCUGGUAACAAUUUUCAUAAAAUACAUAUUGGAUGUGCUGUAGAAGUAUCUCCAAUGUUACAAAGAACAAGAGAAUUGAUGAGUAAUACUCUCAUCUUCUGCCCCAGAGAGGUCCCACUAAAAGCCUUUGACUACUGUAUAGGACAGGGAACAGAAGCUAAAAUUUCCCUAUUGCAGUGAAUACAGUGAGCGGAAGGAAAGAAGAUACCAUCUUAUCAAAGGAUCUUCUGGUUUCCUUUAUAAACAGCUAAGAAGCAGCUUUACCACUUCCCUCAGUAUUGAGCGAAGGCCUUUUGGAAGGACAAUAGAUGAUGUGUCUACCAGAAUUCUCUUUGGCUGUCUUAGAAUGUGUCCUCACUUUGCGUGUCAAAAAAAACAGAUACUGCCUUAAAGCCAGAUGCUUCUAGUUAGUUUGCAGUGUUGUAUUUUAAUCUGACAUGGGGAAAGAAGAGUUUGGUCUUUGACUCAGGAAACCUGCUUUUGUCACAGCUCCUGAAGCUGUCCUUGUGACUGACUUCAUGUGAGUUGUUACAUCUCUAUGCCACUCUCACGCUUCUCAAACUCAUCAGCAGAAGGACUGCUUAAUGGCAGGCUUUUACUUUACACAAUAAAGGUAAAUUGCUCAACGUGACAAGAUAUCACUGCAAUUAAAUUCAGUAAUUGACAGAAAUUUACAGUCAGAACAUUCCUAAUAAGGGCCAAGUGCAGCGGACACGUUAAAGCUAUUCAGGUAGUUUAUACUAUAAAUUGUUUUAUCGUGCAGUAGCAAUUUCAGAAAAUUCUUAGGGAAAAAAAAAUGGGCAAUUAGUCUUGUUUUGAAUGUUGUAACUGAGAUGAAAAUAUAGAAAAGAGAAAUUAUUUGCAUUAUAAAAUGUCAGAAGUGUAUGGCUAUAAUGAUCCUUAAGAGGUACUGUAGGAAAUAGAAUGGAUUAAAUUCUUGCAAACAUUCAUGGGAGUAAAAAUACCAUUAAAACAUUCUAAGAGCCAUAUGACCACUGAUCAGAAAGUAUAAAAACAAUGCUCUGGAAAUGAAUGUUUUCCCAAGAAAACUUUCCAGUAAGAACAUGGGAGACUGCACUAUUUCUUGUGGUCAAAAAAUAAAGGUUGCAUUCCAACUUUAAAGAGACAGUGCUUCCAUAGCACUUGCACACUCAGAAUGUACUCUGGCUCCAUAAGACUAUGAAAGAAAAUAAGUUUAGAACUUGAUCUGUAUUUUUUUUUUUUUCCAAGCGUGCACCUAGUACUCCUUUUGUGUGUUUUUCCAUGAGGAUGAUAAAAAUAGAUGGAGCAGUUUCACAAUUGCUUCCAUUUGAUUUCUUGUUUCUGAUUUGUAUGCACUUGUGGAAUUGCUGCUAGUGGAAAAAUAAUAAUGAAAUCACUCUUGGGAAUGGAGUGCACAACAUAUUUUGUUGACAUUUUGAUAUUUAUGUCAAGUAAUCCUUUUCUUGUCCAAGCUUUUGUAAGCUCGCUUAUGGUGAGAACUGUUGUGCUCAGUGCCUAGCAAAUGAAAUGAGAAACUUUAAUUGCUAUUUUGAACCAAGUGUGUGCUAGUAGCAAUGUAAUGGUUGUUUUCUAUAGGGUUAUUUUUAAGUGACCCAUAAAUAAACACUUACAUGGUCU
rnacentral:lncRNA from 7 species